rnacentral:rRNA from 1 species
GCUUGUCUCAAAGAUUAAGCCAUGCAUGUUCAAGUAUAGCAAGUGUACAGUGAAACUGCGAAUGGCUCAUUAAAUCAGUUAUAAUUUAUUUGAUAGUGAAAUUGUACAUGGAUAACCGUGGCAAUUCUAGAGCUAAUACAUGACUAAAAGGGCUAGCCCUGCAUUUAUUAGAUACAACCAACCCUUCGGGUUUUGGCGAAUCAUAAUAACUGAGCGGACCGUAUUCGUACGGCGUUUCUUAUUAAUUUCUGCCCUAUCAGCUUUCGAUGGUAGGGUAUUGGCCUACCAUGGCGUUAACGGGUAACGGAGAAUUAGGGUUCGAUUCCGGAGAGGGAGCCUGAGAGAUGGCUACCACAUCCAAGGAAGGCAGCAGG